GCACCAACCAAGGCCAAGGAGACCAGAGGCCACCCCCCACCCCCGGGGCAUCCUAGUUAGAUGAUGCCACUUCGACCCUGACACCGCCAUGGGCUGCGGGCUGUUCUGCUGUGUGGUCCUCUGUCUUGUGGGAGCAGCAGCCUCCGCGGACACGGAAAUAACUCAGAUACCAAAAUACCUAAUCAUGGAAACUAGAAAUAAGAAAUCUUUGAGAUGUGAACAACGUCUGGGUCACAAUGCUAUGUACUGGUAUAAACAGAGAGCUCAGAAGCCGCCGGAGCUCAUGUUCGUCUACAACUACAAGGAACUUGCUGGCAAUGAGACUGUUCCAAGUCGCUUCUGGCCUGAAUGCCCAGACAGCUCCCGCAUCAACCUGCACGUGGACACCCUGAAACUGGAAGACUCCGCCCUGUAUCUCUGCGCCAGCAGCAAAGACACAGCCCUGCAGAGCCAACUCCUUCCUGUGCACAAACCUCCAGGGGCCAGCCAGGAAGCUAGGGGGCCAGCCAAGGCACCGUUUGCCACUUCCCAUUAGACCCUAGACAGAAAUCCCAGACCACAAUACUGCCCGCAGGUUCAUGGGGCAUGGCAGGGCUCAGAUCCCCACAGACGCCAGCAGUCUGUGCCGGGCUCGUCCUGACCAAGAUUGUGCCUCUGGGUGAAUAGAGGACAGACGUUCAAGUUUAAGUUGUCCCAAGGAUUUUCCAAUUGGCUGGCGCCCCUGGGAAGUCUUUCAUGAGACACUUGACCUUCUGGCCGCAGCAGUACUACUAAUCCUCCUUCUAAAAGGUGUCUUUCUCUGACUUCCCCUUCCAUCCAAGUUAGACCCUGGAUCUCAGCCCAGAUCCCAGCUCCAACUAUGCUCAGACCUUUUUCAAAGCACCUCAUUCCCUCACCAGGGUCUCCAGCUGUUCCUGCCCCUGAGGACCACGGAUCCCCCAUCCCGCUGGGAUUCCUAUUCUCUGGUUCACUCCGCCGGCUGCGCGUUCAGGGGCUCAGCCGCUCGCUGGCUUCUCUUCCACUCCAGCCUUAACGCUUUCAGGCUUGCUUCUUUUUCCUUCUGUCUUUGUAACCCUAGCUCUUCAGGCCUUCGCCUCCUGUAUGAUCAGCCAUAGAGUCCGACGGGCUUGGAUUGUUGCUUCCAGCAGGCAGUGAGGAGUGAUGGGCUCCUGACAUUUCAGAGCAGGACUUUGUACCCAGGGCUGAACCCUGUAUCUUCCGGCUCUGCUCCUUGUAAUGGCUCUCUGGGCUGCACAACCCAGCAGCCAAGGGCUGACAAAGCCCUGCGUCCUGGAGGGUCAGCUGUCUGCAUGUGCACCAAGGCUCCCUCCUCUCUCCUGCAGAGGAUGCUCCAGGGACAGGGAGACCCCCCACAGAGCCUCAAACCAUAAUACCCAAGUCGACCCCUGUGGCGACUCUCUAUUCUGCGUCUUUAGAGUGGGGGUUUUUUUCACCCGAGUGUGACUCUGCCCUGUCAACUGGUUAAGAGAUAAACACACCCCCAUCUACUAUUUCAAUGCUUUAUUUGUCGUGAAAUAAACAAACCUGCUGUAAAGUGGAUGCUUUGGUUUAAGGUUUCAUAGGGAUCCUCUAAACGGAUGCCUGCACGCCAGGACUCACACCCUACACGGGCCCAGAGGAUAGGAAGGACGCCGCCCUGUGAGGAAGUGCGUUGCUGGGAACUCGGCAGGGAUCCAGGCCAACAAGAAGGUCACCACAGAGGACACACUGGGCAAGAGCAAACGCCCACAGAACUUCCCGUGCCCGCAACUGGCGUGAACUGCUCACUCUGGGCAUGAUGGGCGAAGAUAGGACUGACUUCUCAGAGGCUAAGACCUGAGGGUUCCUGAACAACUGGCUGGAGGAAUGAUGCAGAGAAUACUUCACAAGGGAGAUACUGGAUGUCCCAUUAAUAAGGCAGGUGGACCUCAAGUAUUCAGUUAGAGAAAUAAAUCGGUACUGUUGUGCUAGUGAAUUAAGUAUUUUA